AUGAAGACACGCCAGGGCUUGCAGCUGUACUAAUUAAGUACGUUAGGUGAAGGUUUCUGAUAUGAUAAUCAACAACAAAACGGCAGCUUUAGCAUUUAAACCAUCUUAAUGAGGUGUUAGAACUGAAGUCCCUUUGAGGUGAAUGGGGAAAGUUUGUACACGCUGCUAUUGUUCCAGCCCGUCUGGCUCUCCACUCGAAACAACAGUGCGGUGAUUACCUUAACAGCCAGAACAAGACGCCUUUUUCCCAACAAGCAUUGGGUGCUCAUCAGUGUGAUUAAUCAGCCUGUAUUUGCACAGGACUUUGAAGACAAGAGAAAGCUGGUAGAAGUCCUGCGGGUUAUUACUGCCCAAAUAAAACUACCCGAAUUCCACUUCCUUACUAAGCUAGUCUUGCAAAUAACUGCCAGCAAAUAAACAACUGAAGACAUAGUACAUCUCUCCAUUCUCCUCAGAGAAAUAUUACUUUCAAAGCCAAAUUAGGACCAUUUAAAUGCAAGCAACUCUCCAAGGAGGCUGCCCAGGGACCAAUAGUACAGUCACACACGAAGGCACUUCCGUAUACAAGCAUCAGCCAGGACACUGUGCAUAACUUAUUUUUUUACCAAUAGCACUGGAAGCAGGCUUAUUUUCUCAUGCAGAUCUCAGGGCUAAACACGGAGAAAGGUUCACAGGAAGAAAUACUCCCUCUUAUUUUUCUAAGAGACACUUCAUCCUAGUCUGAAAGGCAAAUCCCCAACCCCGUGUAAGGUAAAGCUGCUGCCACUGGUCUCCACGUGCUCUGCACCACUUUUGACUGUAGCCAAAUGCCAACACCACCACCCGAAGAUUUUUAACUCUAGCAAAUUCGGGGCCCCACCUGAAGCCCACAGAAGAUUCUGAUUAACUUAAUUUGCAAGCUAUAGAAUAAACUUUUGGCAUUAUUUUAGUUGUGCAAUCAAUUUUAUUGUGUUAUUAAGCUAUUUGUUGUAGAAUUUGUCGUCAAUCAAAACACAAAGUACAGUUCUGGUGUAUGGCUAGCCCUUGCAAAGAAAUAAAUGCUUUGAUGUUAGAUAUCGAUUUUGUUCAGCAUUAAUAAAAAAUAUUUACUUGUGUACUAUGCCUAUUCACUGUGUAGAUGGUCAGACUAUGGAAAAUGUUAAAGGUGUCUCCCAGAAGAAUUGUUCCCUUUACAUAUUCUGUUGUUUGUGUGGGCUUAUUUAUUGUGUGCUUUUUUAAUUAAUUAAUUGAUUGACGUUAAGCAAGCAGUUGAUUACAAAAAAGAAAUCAAAAAUAAAACAAACAAACAAACAAAAAAACUCCACCAAAAAAAAAAACCAACAAAAAAAACCCAAACAAAAAAUUAAGUCCUAUCCCUAGAAAGGAAGAAAAAUAUUUACUUAGACCACUGAAGACCUCAGUGCAAGCAAGAAACUAACAGGCUUACCUGUGUCCUUCAAAAACUGCUCUUGAAGAAAGUUUUAUUGAACCCUCUGGUCCUUAU